UAACUGGAGGACCGAACCGACUAAUGUUGAAAAAUUAGCGGAUGACUUGUGGCUGGGGGUGAAAGGCCAAUCAAACCGGGAGAUAGCUGGUUCUCCCCGAAAGCUAUUUAGGUAGCGCCUCGUGAACUCAUCUCCGGGGGUAGAGCACUGUUUCGGCUAGGGGGUCAUCCCGACUUACCAACCCGAUGCAAACUGCGAAUACCGGAGAAUGUUAUCACGGGAGACACACGGCGGGUGCUAACGUUCGUCGUGAAGAGGGAAACAACCCAGACCGCCGGCUAAGGUCCCAAAGUCAUAAUUAAGUGGGAAACGAAGUGGGAAGGCUCAGACAGCCAGGAUGUUGGCUUAGAAGCAGCCAUCAUUUAAAGAAAGCGUAAUAGCUCACUGGUCGAGUCGGCCUGCGCGGAAGAUGUAACGGGGCUAAAUUAUGCACCGAAGCCGCGGCAGCGAUAUGUAAAUAUUGUUGGGUAGGGGAGCGUUCUGUAAGCCUGUGAAGGUGACC
rnacentral:rRNA from 1 species